rnacentral:lncRNA from 1 species
AUGAAUCUAGCUCUGGACAGUUAUAAGCAAAGAAAAACUAACGGAAAAAUACAGAGGCCUGAAGAAUCACAGAGGGAAACUCAUUUGUUCCUCUGGCAGCUCUCCCCAAGGACACCUGUGAGACAAAGUCAGAAGUGGCUUCCCUGGUGACCCAGAGAGACCACAGGGCUCUUGCCGCUGCUUCCUCUACUCCCGUAUUUUGCCGAGCUCUCUAAAUUGUCUCAGCUCUAGCCUGAAUCUAUGGUUUCAUGGAGAGCUCCCUAAAAUCUGUUGACAGAGGAAGAGAAGACUUGAACCUGGUUUACAGAUGGUACUGCACAAUAUGCAGGAACCACAUGAAAGCAGGCAGUUGAAGCACUGCAGCCUCUCUCUGGGACAUCUCCUAAGAAAAAUGAGGGAGCAUC